UAAUUUCCAAGCCAACUAAAUUUCUAGAUAGUCAAGAAGUUUGACUAGAGUGUUCUCUUUUUGGCCCCACACCUGUAGGUUCAAAAAGACUGAGUGCCAUAGCUAAAAGCAUCGUUGAAAUGUCAAAUGCCAUGCCAGUUUACGCUCAAUUUAACGAUGGAGAGAGAAUGCUUUUGUGUGUCUGCAUGCAGCUUGUCCGACCUAUUUCUACAGCCCAAGCCGCCUGCUGCACCACAUCAGUAAUGAUAGUUCUCCGUGGGACCUUGAUACUCGCCAGGGUACCUGCCUGUCCAACUGGACCCAGCCUGAUGACAGAUGCUUGUUUGAAUGAGAAGAGGAUGGCACUAUACAUGCUGGUAAAGAAGUUUGGUACAGACGGAUGUCCUCAAAGAAGGCAAGUUACCUCCUGAACCUUGGGUAACAGAAUUGACGAACUGGAGGACCAGUGAGGGGCAUGAUGCCCAAUGGUACUUAGGGUCUAAAUUGCCAAAGGAUGUGUAAGUGCCUUAAUGGCAGCAGCUGUGACACCGUGAUUGGCAUCUGUUACUGCCCUCCUGGCUUCACUGGGGCCGACUGCAGUCAAAUUUGUCCCGUGGAUCACUAUGGGCAAGACUGUGUCCAGCAGUGUUCCUGUGGCUCAGGACAGUGUGACCUGGUGACUGGAGGGUGCCAAUGUCCACCUGGCCAAAUGGGAGCCAGGCGUCAGCAAGGUAACAAUGACUGCAGGGUCACCUUGUCCGUCCAGGCACUAACUAAACUACACUGUGAAAGCAGAUUUGGUGCCAGGGAAUAUAAUUAAAUGGGCAUUGUUUAAAACACUUUCUUCUUAAAUGUGGAUUUAAUAACAUGAAAGUACACACUUUCAUAGAGCCAUAUAGGAAAUAGCCUACUGGAGGGUAAACAAGAAUUGAAAACA
rnacentral:lncRNA from 1 species